ACGCCUACACUCCAUCCAUCUUGAUGUCUCCGUCGGUUCCAUCCCUUUCUCACUCGCUCAGGAGCUUCUUCCUCUUCCGACUCCGUCGCUUCCCCUCCCCUUCUCACUCGCUCACCUCUUCCUCUUCCGACGGUGAGCAUCGCCCUACCAAUCCUGGACGCCACCAUAGUCCUUCCCUGCUCCAUCUCUCCAUCCUCCAGUGCCCCUCCUCUCUCACCCCUCGGCUAUGCUGGAUGUCGGUCGCGCCAGGCUGCCUGCUGGUGAAGGAACGGCCGAAUCUGGCCAAGGGAUAGAGCUCGGGGGUGAAGGAAUGGCCGAAUCCACCGAAGGGUCAACCAGAUGCAGCGAAGGGAGGACCAGAUCUACAAUCCCUCGUUCGAGCGCGACGCGUGCGGCGUUGGGUUUGUCGCUGAGCUUUCUGGCGAUUACAAGCGCGCGACUGUUAAUGAUGCUAUUGAGAUGCUUGAGAGAAUGGCACACCGUGGUGCCUGUAGCUGUGAGAAGAACACAGGAGACGGUGCCGGCAUCAUGGUCGCUCUACCACAUGACUUCUUCAAAGAGGUCACAAAGGAUGCUGGGUUUGAGCUACCGCCACCAGGCGAGUAUGCUGUUGGAAUGUUAUUUAUGCCAACCGAUGAAAAGCGUCGUGAGAAGGGCAAAGCUGAGUUUAAGAAGGUCGCCGAAUCACUGGGACAUGUAAUACUCGGGUGGCGUCCAGUUCCAACUGAUAACUCAGACCUGGAUGAAUCUGCACUGGAGACAGAGCCAGUCAUUGAGCAGGUUUUUAUUACCAAGAGUUCAAGAUCAGAGGCUGAGUUUGAGCAACAGCUAUAUAUCCUUAGGAGACUCUCAAUCAUCUCCGUCCGAGCAGCUCUGAACAUUAAGUGUGGAGGAGAGAGGGAUUUCUACAUGUGUUCUCUGUCUUCAAGACAUACAGUUGUUGGUUGGGUACUUUCUUGCUGGGUGUGACUUUCCAAGAGUGCAGAAAUGAGCGAUUUGCAGAAUCACACUCCAUUUGGUUUGAGAAGAUUCUGGGUAAUUUGCAGGAAACGCAAAGGCGAGGGCGACUCCAGGAACUGGCAAAACGCAGGAUUGACGGCUUCAAGGACGGUCGCAGGGCUGAGGUUGCCAACGCAGGUUGGGCUCGGGGGUCGGGCGACGGCGAGGGCGACCUGGCAACGCAGGUCGUGCGAGGGCGUCGGGCGAUGAUGAGGCGCAGGUCGGCGAGGGCGUUGGGCUGCGGCGUCGGGGGCGAGGGCGUCGCGCGUUGGGCGUCGAGCGUCGAGGCAACCCGACGCAGGUCGUGCGAGGGCGUCGGGCGAGGAUGAGGCGCAGGUCGGCGAGGGCGUUGGGCUGCGGCGUCAGGGGCGAGGGCGAGGUCGAGGGCGACGGUGUCGAUGGCGUCGCGCGUCGAGCGUCGCGUGUCGGGCGUCGCGUGUCGGGCGUCGAGCGUCGGGCGUCGGGGUCGAGGCAACGCGGGCGUCGGUGGCGAGGGCGAGGGCAACUCUCCAGACCUGGCAACGCAGGUCGGGCGUCGCGGCCGAGGGCGACGGUGUCGGUGUCGGGGGCGGGCGAGGGUGAAGGGCGAGGGCGUCGGUCGUCGGUGGCGGAGGGCGAGUCUCCUGACCUGGCAACGCAGGUCGGGCGUCGGGGGCGAGGGCGUCGACGAGGACCCAGGACGAUGGAGGAAGAGGUGCGACGUCGGGCGAGGGCGAGUGCGAGGGCGUCGGGGGCGAGGAUUUGGUACCGUGCGAUUCUUUCCUUUAGAAGAGCAUGCGAUUAAUUUUGUUUCCUUUACAGGACUGAGAUUUUAUAUCAGGAAUUCUUUCUUUUUCUUUAUUUCAUUUCGCACCCUUCCACCUCUCUGUUAUAUAUUAUUGUGUGUUGUAAAUUUGCAUCAGGAAUCCUAAGUUGUUUUUUUUUUCAA